UACGUAGGGUGCGAGCGUUAAUCGGAAUACUGGGCGUAAAGCGUGCGCAGGCGGUUUUGUAAGCCAGAUGUGAAAUCCCCGGGCUUAACCUGGGAAUGGCAUUUGGGACUGCAAGGCUUGAGUGCGGCAGAGGAGACUGGAAUUCCUGGUGUAGCAGUGAAAUGCGUAGAUAUCAGGAGGAACACCGAUGGCGAAGGCAGGUCUCUGGGCUGACACUGACGCUCAUGCACGAAAGCGUGGGGAG
rnacentral:rRNA from 1 species